rnacentral:lncRNA from 1 species
GUUUGUUCACAGAGCUAAACACUUGGAAAAACAUUUUGGAAAAAAAAAAAUGAAAUGCUUAUUCAUGGGAAAUCUUUACUCCACCCAGGAAAAGAUAAAUGGCACUUAAGAACUACUCUUUAAGAGUGAGAUGUUUAUUGAAAUAAGGGAGGCUAAUUGUCAAAAAUGAUGAGAAACAAAUGUGAAAAGCCCUAUGUUUGGAGCUCUGGCCACAUGGAGCGUUUAAACAAGCAUAUGCUGUGUUUCAAAAGAAGAGACGUAGUUUGAAAGUUGCCAUUUUUUGGAAAAGAAAUGUUCAGUGAAAGAGAGAGAGAGAAAACAACAACAACAACAACAAUCAUGGCUGCUAACAGCAGUUCCAGAACAUAGAGUAAGAAAGAGAACAUGGCUGCCAAUGUUCUCGUCUCUGAAAGGCUGAAACUCCACUUUGAUAUCAGUUUACCUUUUUAACAAUAUUUUCAUGACAAACCAGUUCUGCUGGAGACAUGUGUUAAAGGGGGUGAUGUGUGAUUGCUGCUAGAGAUAGGAUCACGUUCUCUAUAGAUAUGAGAUGUGUAGUUCUUCUUGGUCCAGUUCUCAGUCUUUCCACUGUUUUGCCAUGAAUUCCCAGAUCAGUCUAGAAUAGAGUUGCUCAAAGUUGGCACUGUUGACAUUUUAGGGAGAAAAUGCGUUAUUGGGAAAGGGCUGUUCUGUAUGUUGUCGGAUGUUUAACAGCAUCCUGGCCUCUACACAUGAGAUGCCAGUAGCAGCCCCCACCCAUUUGUAACAACUAAAAGUGUCUCCAGACAUGGCCAGAUGUCCUCAGGGAGGCGCAAGGAAAGGAGAGAGAAUUUACUGAGGAGAGCUUUUUACAUUUAUUGCUCUAGAUGAUAAAACAUAAAUUUACGGUUCUCAGAUAAGCUGUGUAUUGUAUGUUUACAAAUGUAUUCAGCAAAUGUAUUCAAGCAAACUUCAUGACACCAGAAUAGGGUAAACUUGGUCUUAGAUGGUCCCCAUUAGAAAAGGUCAGUAAUUUAGUAGUACUUCUAUUCUUCUCAGGCAAUAGGCAUUAUUUCUGGUGCCUCUAUAGAUUGUCUACAGCCUACAUGGGCUUUGGAAUCAGACUGACCUGGAUUUUGGUGCUGGCUCCCUCACCACCAGUGUAACCAUAGGCUUAUUAUUUGACCUCUCUAAACCUCAGUUUUCCUCAUCACAAAAGGGAGUCAGUAUUGACCUAAGAGGACUAUUGUAAGGAUUAAAUAAAAUAGCACACCUUCAUAUUUACACUUGGUAAUUCCCUAAUAAAUCAUCAUUUGUUAUGAUGUGGUGCAAUCACAUUCAGGUUCAAUGAAGUAGAGAUGUCAUUUUUCUUGUUUAACCACUGAACCAAUUAUGACUGACAGAUCUCAUUAAAUAGAGCAUGUUUAAAUAACCAUACAGUAGAACCUACAAAUAAUUAGAGCUCUUUCCAGCUUUUAUUUUUGACUUGUCUUUAGUUAUCCUCAUGUUGGAUGCACAUUAGUCACUUGUUUCUGUCCCAUCAGCCCACAGUUUUGUUUUCAGUGGGAGUGCCCAGUGAAAUAAUCAACAUGAACUUAAUUGCAACUUGACAAGCUGCAGAGUUGUUUCAAUAAAUGUGCAACAUGCUGAGCUGUAUGCACUUAGAAGUCAGCAAAUGUUGACCAGUAAUAUCUUAUUUGGGAUCCACCCAGGCCCCAUAACCCAGUGAUGGCAUUCCUCUGAAAUUAGGAAGAGAUUCAAGUUGCUCAAUGCUCCAUUUUAAACAGAAAUACACCAGCAAUAUACCAGCUGCAGGAAAGAGGAUGGGAAAGAGUCUCACAGCAGUCAAGAGCAGACAAUGAUCCAAGUGACAAGAAGACACAGGCCCAUUUGGGGUGUCUCCCAUUCAUUUCUGCUGAACUUUUUCCGAAGACCAUGCUGCUCAGAAUUGUGAAAGGGGACCAAUGACUAUUAUGAGAAACAAAAUAUUCUUCUUUACAAAAGCCUCCCAGAGGAAUAGGGAUGUUUACAGCACUUGGAGAAUGGCCAAGCUGGUGUAUCUUUCAGCACAAAGUGGAGACAUGUUCAAGUCCAGUUCACAGCCUAUGGUUUGUACAUAGGCAAAGCACACCAAAUGUCUCCCUAAAGGUGGUGUUACCCGAAUAGCCCUUUGAAGGCUUCUACCUGGGGAACAUGAUUGCCCAUUGACAAUCACCUCCAUUUGAGAGACUCAUCUGCCUCAAUGCAUUGUGCAACUUCAGGAAGCCUCAUUCGAGGGCCUGAGACAAACAUCUGGAGUGUUCAGCUGAGUCAAACCAAGCCUGAAUUGUCCUACCACUGAAGACACAGCAUGAGGUAGCCAACCCAUCCCUGAGACUGCUGUGGGGGCUGAUGUCUACCUGGCUGGGCUUGUUGCAUGGAUUCCACACUGUUUUUACUAUUUACCCGCUAGUUCCUGUGGCUCUCAAUCAAUAACUUCUUUUUUGUACUGAACCUUCUCUAACAUGGACAAGGUUAAAAAGAGAAAGUGGACCUUUUCAGAGUCUAAAAGUGCUAUUGUUCACCACAUAGAACAUUUAUCUGAGAUUGUGGCUGUAUAUGAUAGGAUGUGGAGAAACUGGACAAAAAAAUAAAAUCUGACAACACAUUACAAGAGUUACAAAAACCAGGAAUGCAGAGCACUGGCUUAUCAUCUGUUGACUCUAGCAUGACCAGCUCCAAAUUUGCCUUGUGUCAAUGCAGCACAGCCCCCAACUACCCCAUAGGAAGGCAGACACGACAUGGAGACUAAGUCCUGUUUGGGUUGUUGUUUUCAUGAUGCUAAAAGAGGAUUUCACCCUGACUUAAUUUCUUUAAACUUUUUUUGAUCAAAUUCCAGGUAGCUACAGCAAUUCCACACUCAGCCAACUGAAUUGCAAGAUAAUGCAAAUAGUCUUCUACAAGCUGUUACAGUCCUGAGAGCAAUGGUUUCCUACUAAGCACUGUGGACUGUUUAGAACAGCCUAGUAAGCCUUUGAUUAGCAGUCUGGAAUCUCUUGUGGGUGCAGUACAACUCUUGAUAUAAAAUAUCACCUACCCAAUUCAAUUUGUUUGGAAUCUAGCAUGGGACUACUUGAGGCAGAAGUCAUACUCUAAGGAAACACAUUCAAAAUUUGAUUCCACAUUUGUAUGAUAUGGUGAAGAUGUUUCUCUAACCUUUAACUAGCUAUAUUCCUCUUAAUUCAAUCAUCUUUUUUGAUAUACCGAUUGGAUCAGGGUCGGCCAGGAAGCUUGCGGCAGCAGUUGCCAUCUCUGUUUCUUAGGAGUAAUCCAUCAGAGGAGACACAUGCUGCUGCUCACAGAAAUAAAUACCAAAAAACAACAUUAAAGGUUCAUCUUCCUUAGGAAGCUACAUGAAGAUGGA